rnacentral:lncRNA from 1 species
UGACAUGGAUGGGCGUAAAUUUUGCCAUGCUGGUCAUCCAUAAAAAUCUGUCAUUAGCAGAGCUGCGAACUGCUAAAGAGGCUGUUACUUUUGCAAUUGAACAUCUCUAGAUUAAUGCAUGUGGCUUGAGGAAGAUUCCUCUAAGAUUGUCGAUUGAAUCAAGAGCUAUGCUUCGCUCAUCACUGAUUGGUAUCCUACAUGUUACUGGAUAUCUUCUUCCUCUCAAAGCCUAAGUCACCCACACUUACUGCAAGAAAAACAAAUCAACCAAUUGAGUGCCCAAC